AAAAAGAAUAAGAAGUAAAUCCCGAUAUACAUUGCGUUCUCUUCCAUUUUCUCUCUCCAUAAUUCUUGCCUAGGUCUUGCUGUAUUCCCAUCGCGUUUCGGUAUUACCUGUUUCCAAGCAUUGAGUUUCCAGGUACAAGAAGAAUGAGCUUUCAGGAUCUCGAGGCGGGCCGGUCCGCAGGCUCAUUGAGGAAAGAUCUGGCGAAUGGAAUUGCAAAGAAAGACUCCACGCAGGCCGUCGCCUCUGGAAUUUUCCAGAUCAACACCGCCGUCUCGACUUUUCAACGGCUUGUUAAUACGCUUGGGACCCCCAAGGACACGCCGGAGCUCCGUGAGAAGCUACACAAAACAAGGCUGCAUAUCGGGCAGCUGGUAAAGGAUACUUCAGCUAAACUAAAACAAGCCAGUGAAUCAGAUCAUCAUGUUGAAGUUAGCGCCAGCAAGAAAAUUGCAGACGCUAAACUUGCAAAAGAUUUCCAAGCUGUUUUAAAAGAGUUUCAGAAGGCCCAACGGCUUGCAGCAGAAAGGGAAACGGCUUACUCACCUUCUGUUCCACAGACAGUUCCUCCUUCCAAUUACACAGCCCAGGAACUAGACAUAAGUUCAGAUAAGAGUGCAGAACAGCGUGCUCUUCUUGUGGAAUCUAGAAGACAGGAGGUUUUACUGUUAGACAAUGAGAUUGCCUUCAAUGAGGCUGUCAUUGAGGAGAGAGAGCAAGGAAUUCAUGAAAUUCAGCAGCAAAUUGGUGAAGUGAAUGAGAUCUUUAAAGAUCUUGCUGUGCUGGUCCAUGAGCAAGGAGCCAUGAUUGAUGAUAUUGGGACCCAUAUUGAAAAUUCCCAUGCAGCAACUGCACAGGGAAAAUCACAUCUUGUGAAGGCCGCAAAGACCCAAAGAUCAAAUUCCUCUCUGGCUUGCUUGCUCUUAGUAAUAUUCGGGAUUGUGCUCCUCAUUUUGAUCAUAGUACUUGCAGCUUGAUGAGAAGAUUGUCUAAAAACUGAAAGUGGAGAGAAUAUUCAAGGUGUGGUUGGCAACAAGAGGGAUUCAGGAACCAACUCUAUACAGUUUAUGAUGAACAAUAAUUUUGCUGCAAGAUGAGCAAACUAUCCCAAGGAAAGCAGUUAUGGAGAUAAUUGAUAGAAGGAUAAAAUGAAAACAAAAAUUGAUUCGCCACUAAGGUGAUACUGCAAUGUAACUGUACCAAAGAUAUAGCUUUUAUGUAAAUUAGCUUUUGCAUAAAGAAGAUAUUCAUACCACAGCUACUGUUGUGGGCAUGAUAAAAACAUCAUAUUGCUGGUUGGAUAAUGAAGUGCAAUAAUUUUGGUUGA